rnacentral:rRNA from 1 species
AUUGAACGCUGGCGGCAGGCCUAACACAUGCAAGUCGAACGGUAACAGGGAUCAGCUUGCUGAUUCGCUGACGAGUGGCGGACGGGUGAGUAAUGUCUGGGAAACUGCCUGAUGGAGGGGGAUAACUACUGGAAACGGUAGCUAAUACCGCAUAACGUCGCAAGACCAAAGAGGGGGACCUUCGGGCCUCUUGCCAUCGGAUGUGCCCAGAUGGGAUUAGCUAGUAGGUGGGGUAACGGCUCACCUAGGCGACGAUCCCUAGCUGGUCUGAGAGGAUGACCAGCCACACUGGAACUGAGACACGGUCCAGACUCCUACGGGAGGCAGCAGUGGGGAAUAUUGCACAAUGGGCGCAAGCCUGAUGCAGCCAUGCCGCGUGUAUGAAGAAGGCCUUCGGGCUGUAAAGUACUUUCAGCGGGGAGGAAGGGAGUAAAGUUAAUACCUUUGCUCAUUGACGUUACCCGCAGAAGAAGCACCGGCUAACUCCGUG